rfam:Anopheles atroparvus strain EBRO unplaced genomic scaffold supercont1.5, whole genome shotgun sequence.
UCUGCAAGAAAGACAUGGGUAGUGAGAUAGUGGCGCCCCGACUCUUGCUGCUGUGGCGCUGGUUUAGUACUGGUAGAUCUCACUACCUUGUCUUUCAUGUUGAU